UAAAGAAAGCGUAAUAGCUCACUGGUCGAGUCGGCCUGCGCGGAAGAUGUAACGGGGCUAAACCAUGCACCGAAGCUGCGGCAGCGACACUAUGUGUUGUUGGGUAGGGGAGCGUUCUGUAAGCCUGCGAAGGUGUGCUGUGAGGUAUGCUGGAGGUAUCAGAAGUGCGAAUGCUGACAUAAGUAACGAUAAAGCGGGUGAAAAGCCCGCUCGCCGGAAGACCAAGGGUUCCUGUCCAACGUUAAUCGGGGCAGGGUGAGUCGA
rnacentral:rRNA from 1 species